rnacentral:rRNA from 1 species
UACGGAGGGUGCAAGCGUUGUCCGGAAUCACUGGGCGUAAAGGGCGCGUAGGCGGCUCGGUAAGUAGGGGGUGAAAUCUCGCGGCUCAACUGCGAGGCUGCCUUCUAGACUGCCAAGCUCGAGCACAGUAGAGGCAGGUGGAAUUCCCGGUGUAGCGGUGGAAUGCGUAGAGAUCGGGAAGAACAUCGGUGGCGAAGGCGGCCUGCUGGGCUGUUGCUGACGCUGAUGCGCGACAGCGUGGGGAGCAAACAGG